CUAGUCCUACGGGGGGCAGCAGUGGGGAAUAUUGCACAAUGGGCGAAAGCCUGAUGCAGCAACGCCGCGUGAAGGAAGAAGGGUUUCGGCUCGUAAACUUCUAUCAACAGGGACGAAAGAAAUGACGGUACCUGAAUAAGAAGCCCCGGCUAACUACGUGCCAGCAGCCGCGGUAAUACGUAGGGGGCAAGCGUUAUCCGGAAUUACUGGGUGUAAAGGGGGAGUAGGCGGCAUGGUAAGCCAGAUGUGAAAGCCUUGGGCUUACCCCGAGGAUUGCAUUUGGAACUAUCAAGCUGUAGAAAAGG
rnacentral:rRNA from 1 species